AUGUGGCCUGGACAGCUUGACUCCAAUAAGCAGCGGAAGAAAUGGACUCGGCUCGACACCAACCAAAGAGGGCUCGGCCUGCAGCAGGAGAUUAAACACGCGUCGCUAUUCUGCGGGGUGUCGCACGGGUUGUGGCGAAGACCAAGGGAGUUUAGUAAGACUGCAACAGUUCGCGUAGAGAAUGGUCACAUUUCAAUUGAUAAUCUCACCACUGAGCUGCGCCGGUUGGUUCCCGUCAGAUUUGAAGUAAAGGAGACGGCACAGGAUACAUUUGUUGUUCAGUUUCCCUCUACAAUUGAAUUAGAUAGAUUGCAUAGGGUUGGCAGAGUCCGUAGCUUUGAUUUUGGUGUUGAUUUGUUAUUUAACAAAUGGGAACAGGAGAUUGAGGCAAAGUUUGUCCUGAAGAAGACAUGGUUUCGUGUCUAUGGUGUUCCAUAUGAAAUUAGGGACUUUCUUAGCCUUCAUGCUGUCGGUUCUGUCAUUGGAAAUACAACGAUGGUGGAUAUGGUUUAUCUUCGGAAACACGGGGUCGUAAGAAUGCAGGUUGCGGUGGAUGAUUUAGCAACUUUGCCGCCCAGUGUGUACAUUGUGUUCCGUAACCAUGGGUAUGAGAUUUUCUUUGAACCAGAAAUGCCCGAGGAGGAAUCGAAAGGAAAGGAAAAGUUAGACGAAGAUGAUCAGCGUGAUGACAGUGAACAAAAGAGGAACGAUGAUGAUGUCAUUAUGGAAGAUCGGAAUCCAAAGCGACUAAAAAAUGAAGCUGCGUCAUCCUCAAUGUCAUUAAGAGGAGGCUCAGUUACAGACUCUCAGCUUAAUUCACAUUGUGUUUCAGCGAUCGCAGGGUUGCUCACUGUUGUUGAUGAUUCUGCAGUAGAGCAGCAAGCUGAGGAGGUUUUGCCAACAAUUUGCGUGGCUUCUAGCUUGGAAACGGUGAUGAACAAGGCUCCAGAAGAGAGCUCAAUGCAGAUCCCAACUACCGGACAGAACGUGACCUUGGCAAAUGAAGAGGUGGCUGCUUUGUCUUUGGCUGUACCGGAUAGUGUGGCUGCCAUCUCAGAGGAAGAAUUUACAACGACAUUGACGGAUGCGGGAGAGAUGGCACCGGCAGGUUGUGCAUCUCUCUCGGAGGCUUCGACGGGAGCAUCAACACUAGAAGGGGGCUGUAACUGUGUCAUUGGCUGCUCCUGUUGUCAUGGACGACGCAGCCCAGGAGAUCGAGUCGGACAAGGUGGGCUUGGUGGCUGCCGAUGCUCCAACUUUGUCGGUCGAUGCAACUCAGGUCUUGCCGUCCUCGUCAACUGGCACAAUGGACGCUGCUCCAAUGGUGAAUCAGGAGGUGACAGAGGUGUUAACACGGUAAUUGAGUUGGCUGCCGAUGGGGCACAACUUGAUGCAGCACGCACCAUCAUCGCUGAAGCAAAGGUGCAAGCAGAAGCAGGUGGGAAGCGUCCCUCUCAAGAAGCUAAACGUCGCUCUCGUCGACUGAUUCAUCCUACACCAACACGUCAAAGUGAACGACAGAAGGCAAUGGCAAACGGGGAUGCACCGGUGGCAAACCGAGCAGAGUUUCUAAAAAAGAUUCAUAACCUCGAAGUGGUAGCAGGUAACAAAUUCAACCCUACAAGUUCAAUUCUAUCUUUGCCUAACAAAACUCUACUUGCAAAUAUUUCUAAGCUAGGAGUUUCCCUGGGUAGAAAUGACAUAGAAGUAGAUGAGUCUAUUUAUGGUACAAAAAUUUCUGAAGUUGAUAGAUUUGUAGCUCUACAUGCUAGUUCUUUUGUUUACAAUGGUUCUUCUAGUAAUGUAGAUAAUGACAAGGAUGAGCUUUUAAAAUUAUCUUCUAUCCAGCACUUAUGUAGUGAUUGGCAAGAAGAAAGUGAGGGUAGCGCUGACGAGUCUUUUGAUUCAUGCAACGCACCUCAAAGAAAGAAAAUUUUGACAAAAGCCAAAAAUAAAGUGGUAUGUCCACCUUUGGCUAAGCCAAAAAUGAAACGCAACAAACAUAAAAAAUGAAAGGAAUUUU
rnacentral:lncRNA from 1 species